GACGUAGGGCGCGAGCGUUUGUCCGGAUUUAUUGGGCGUAAAGAGCUCGUAGGCGGCUUGUCGCGUCGACUGUGAAAACCCGCGGCUCAACCGCGGGCCUGCAGCCGAUACGGGCAGGCUAGAGUUCGGCAGGGGAGAACGGAAUUCCCGGUGUAGCGGUGAAAUGCGCAGAUAUCGGGAGGAACACCGGUGGCGAAGGCGGUUCUCUGGGCCUGUACUGACGCUGAGGAGCGAAAGCGUGGGGAGCAAACAGG
rnacentral:rRNA from 1 species